rnacentral:lncRNA from 1 species
CAUCCUUCAGUUUCUGAGAUCAACUUCUAAUUUCUUUCCCUAGGAACGGGAGAGAACACGUUUCUGCGAAGACUGACCUGGCCACAGCACUUAGAUCCCUCGUCUUACAAUGAAUGUCAUCUAGGAGCCAUCCUGUUUGGAACUAGAACUAGAACCUCAGAACCUGUCUGGGAUGUAAAGUCAAAGCGUAUAAAGACAGAACAGCCUAUCUGCAGCCCAGAGAAGGCUCUUGGAACUCAACAAGAAAAUUAUGACUGUGCCCAAGCAGUUGCUGGUGAAUUCAGUGCUCUCCCAAUGAAGAGAGAGGAAGGGUCGGAAGAGAAGCCCAUUCCCCUGCAGCGAGGCGGACAAGGGGCAAGGCGAUGCAGAUACGGAGAUCUGGUGCCCACUUCCCUUGUGAGUCCGGAGGACCAGCAGAAGGCAACGACCGUGCAGAGCCAAGUGGACGAAAUCAUAGUUAUCAGCAGCGAGGACUCGCAAUCCAGUGACGAGGAAGAGCCCCAGGUGUCUCCCGCUCAGCACCAAGGUGCAGGAUUCAGGCGGGUGAGGAGGGCGCGGACCUCUGCCCCGGACUCCAGGAUCUCAGAGCUCCUGCUAGCUGGUGCACAUGGCUCGGAGGGCACUACCAGCCAGGGCCCUGCUAACCCUGGGCGCCCAUUCUUCACCCUUGCCUUGGCUGGCCCUUUGGGAAACGUGGAAAGGCCGGGCGGUACUCCCUGACUGCACGUCUGAAUGUCCGCGUAGAGACAGGAUGUGUGCUUCUGUUUUACACCUUUUUCCUCCUCAUGGUUGUACAUAUGAUAGUAUAAGGAAAAUUACAUAAUUUGUCUUUGUCUCCAGUUCUUGACCCAGAGUGGUAAAACCUCUGGAAUUUCUAGUGAGAAGAGCAUCUUUUAAAAACCAAGCAUAUGAUUACAGGGUUAGAUCUUUCAGCCCCACUUCUCGACCUCUGGAGAAAAGAGAGGAAUGGAAGAUUGAGUGCAUCAACAAUGGCCAAUAAUAAAAUGUCAGGUCUGCACAAUGACAGCUCAGAAAAGCCCCUGAACAAUGGGGUUCAGGGGCUUCCUUGUUGGUGAAGUCACCGAUGUGCUGGGAGCUGAAGAGAGCACACACCUCUCCUUCCCCUGCCCACCCACCCCCACUGUCUGCCACACAUAUACCUUGCUCUACCAUUUGGCUGUUUCAGAGUUGUAUUCUUU